rnacentral:rRNA from 1 species
CAUGCGGGUCUUACCAUGCAAGUUGAACGGAGUAUGUUGGAAGGGUAACCGGAAGGCAUAUUUAGUGGCGAACGGGUGAGUAAUGCAUGAGAACGUAUCCUCAAGAGGGGGACAACAUUGGGAAACCGAUGCUAAUACCCCAUAAGCCGGGAGGUAAAAGGAGCAAUCCGCUUGAGGAGCGGUUCAUGUCCUAUCAGCUAGUUGGUGAGGUAACGGCUCACCAAGGCGAAGACGGGUAGCCGGCCUGAGAGGGUGAACGGCCACACUGGAACUGAGAGACGGUCCAGACUCCUACGGGAGGCAGCAGUGGGGAAUAUUGGGCAAUGGGGGAAACCCUGACCCAGCGACGCCGCGUGAGGGAAGAAGGCCUUAGGGUCGUAAACCUCUGUUGUGUGGGAAGAAGAGCGUGACGGUACCACACGAGGAAGUCCCGGCUAACUACGUGCCAGCAGCCGCGGUAAUACGUAGGGGACGAGCGUUGUCCGGAUUUACUGGGCGUAAAGGGCGCGUAGGCGGUCAUUUAAGUCAGCUGUGAAAUGGUGCGGCUUAACCGCAUCAUGCGGUUGAAACUGGAUGACUGGAGUGCUGGAGAGGCAAGUGGAAUUCCCAGUGUAGCGGUGAAAUGCGUAGAUAUUGGGAAGAACACCGGUGGCGAAGGCGACUUGCUGGCCAGCAACUGACGCUGAGGCGCGAAAGCCAGGGGAGCAAACGGGAUUAGAUACCCCGGUAGUCCUGGCCGUAAACGAUGAAUGCUAGGUGUGGGCAUCGAGAGGUGUCCGUGCCGGAGCUAACGCGAUAAGCAUUCCGCCUGGGGAGUACG